rnacentral:rRNA from 1 species
GACGAACGCUGGCGGCGUGCUUAACACAUGCAAGUCGAACGAAGUGGCGAACGGGUGAGUAAUACGUGGGUAACCUGCCCUCCUUUUUGGGAUAAGCCUUGGAAACGGGGUCUAAUACCGAAUAAAGGGGGAUGGGCUCGCGGCCUAUCAGCUUGUUGGUGGGGGGAUGGCCUAACAAGGCGGUGACGGGUAGCCGGCCUGAGAGGGGGAACGGCCACAGUGGGACGGUGAUGCGGCCCAGGGGCGUACGCGGGGGAGAAGUGGGGGAUAUUGCACAAUGGGCGAAAGACUGAUGCAGCGACGCCGCGUGGGGGAUGAAGGCUUUCGGGUUGUAAACCUCGUUCGCAAUCGAAGGGGUAGGUGGAGAAGAAGCGCCGGCUAACUACGUGCCAGCAGCCGCGGUAAUUC